rnacentral:rRNA from 1 species
UACGUAGGGGGCGUAGCGUUGUCCGGAAUCAUUGGGCGUAAAGAGCGUGUAGGCGGCCCGGUAAGUCCGCUGUAAAAGUCAAAGGCUCAACCUUUGAAUGUCAGUGGAUACUGCCGGGCUAGAGUCCGGAAGAGGCGAGUGGAACUCCUGGUGUAGCGGUGGAAUGCGCAGAUAUCAGGAAGAACACCAACGGCGAAGGCAGCUCGCUGGGACGGUACUGACGCUGAGACGCGAAAGCGUGGGGAGCGAACAGG